rnacentral:rRNA from 1 species
GCCUUCUCGGCGCCCCUCGUGGGCGUUUCGAAAAUGAAUCAAAACUUUCAACAACGGAUCUCUUGGUUCUGGCAUCGAUGAAGAACGCAGCGAAAUGCGAUAAGUAAUGUGAAUUGCAGAAUUCAGUGAAUCAUCGAAUCUUUGAACGCACAUUGCGCCCGCCAGUAUUCUGGCGGGCAUGCCUGUCCGAGCGUCAUUUCAACCCUCGAACCCCUCCGGGGGGUCGGCGUUGGGGAUCGGCCCUCCCUC